rnacentral:rRNA from 1 species
AUUGAACGCUGGCGGCAGGCUUAACACAUGCAAGUCGAGCGGGGGAAGGUAGCUUGCUACCGGACCUAGCGGCGGACGGGUGAGUAAUGCUUAGGAAUCUGCCCAUUAGUGGGGGACAACAUCUCGAAAGGGACGCUAAUACCGCAUACGUCCUACGGGAGAAAGCAGGGGAUCUUCGGACCUUGCGCUAAUAGAUGAGCAUAAGUCGGAUUAGCUAGUUGGUGGGGUAAAGGCCGACCAAGGCGACGAUCUGUAGCGGGUCUGAGAGGAUGAUCCGCCACACUGGGACUGAGACACGGCCCAGACUCCUACGGGAGGCAGCAGUGGGGAAUAUUGGACAAUGGGGGGAACCCUGAUCCAGCCAUGCCGCGUGUGUGAAGAAGGCCUUAUGGUUGUAAAGCACUUUAAGCGAGGAGGAGGCUACUUUAGUUAAUACCUAGAGAUAGUGGACGUUACUCGCAGAAUAAGCACCGGCUAACUCUGUGCCAGCCGCCGCCGUAA